rnacentral:rRNA from 1 species
AAAUUGAAGAGUUUGAUCAUGGCUCAGAUUGAACGCUGGCGGCAGGCCUAACACAUGCAAGUCGAGCGGUAGCACAGAGAGCUUGCUCUCGGGUGACGAGCGGCGGACGGGUGAGUAAUGUCUGGGAAACUGCCUGAUGGAGGGGAUAACUACUGGAAACGGUAGCUAAUACCGCAUAAUGUCGCAAGACCAAAGUGGGGGACCUUCGGGCCUCAUGCCAUCAGAUGUGCCCAGAUGGGAUUAGCUAGUAGGUGGGGUAACGGCUCACCUAGGCGACGAUCCCUAGCUGGUCUGAGAGGAUGACCAGCCACACUGGAACUGAGACACGGUCCAGACUCCUACGGGAGGCAGCAGUGGGGAAUAUUGCACAAUGGGCGCAAGCCUGAUGCAGCCAUGCCGCGUGUGUGAAGAAGGCCUUCGGGUUGUAAAGCACUUUCAGCGGGGAGGAAGGCGGUGAGGUUAAUAACCUCACCGAUUGACGUUACCCGCAGAAGAAGCACCGGCUAACUCCGUGCCAGCAGCCGCGGUAAUACGGAGGGUGCAAGCGUUAAUCGGAAUUACUGGGCGUAAAGCGCACGCAGGCGGUCUGUCAAGUCGGAUGUGAAAUCCCCGGGCUCAACCUGGGAACUGCAUUCGAAACUGGCAGGCUAGAGUCUUGUAGAGGGGGUAGAAUUCCAGGUGUAGCGGUGAAAUGCGUAGAGAUCUGGAGGAAUACCGGUGGCGAAGGCGGCCCCUGGACAAAGACUGACGCUCAGGUGCGAAAGCGUGGGGAGCAAACAGGAUUAGAUACCCUGGUAGUCCACGCCGUAAACGAUGUCGAUUUGGAGGUUGUGCCCUUGAGGCGUGGCUUCCGGAGCUAACGCGUUAAAUCGACCGCCUGGGAGUACGGCCGCAAGGUUAAAACUCAAAUGAAUUGACGGGGGCCCGCACAAGCGGUGGAGCAUGUGGUUUAAUUCGAUGCAACGCGAAGAACCUUACCUGGUCUUGACAUCCACAGAACUUUCCAGAGAUGGAUUGGUGCCUUCGGGAACUGUGAGACAGGUGCUGCAUGGCUGUCGUCAGCUCGUGUUGUGAAAUGUUGGGUUAAGUCCCGCAACGAGCGCAACCCUUAUCCUUUGUUGCCAGCGGUCCGGCCGGGAACUCAAAGGAGACUGCCAGUGAUAAACUGGAGGAAGGUGGGGAUGACGUCAAGUCAUCAUGGCCCUUACGACCAGGGCUACACACGUGCUACAAUGGCAUAUACAAAGAGAAGCGACCUCGCGAGAGCAAGCGGACCUCAUAAAGUAUGUCGUAGUCCGGAUUGGAGUCUGCAACUCGACUCCAUGAAGUCGGAAUCGCUAGUAAUCGUAGAUCAGAAUGCUACGGUGAAUACGUUCCCGGGCCUUGUACACACCGCCCGUCACACCAUGGGAGUGGGUUGCAAAGAAGUAGGUAGCUUAACCUUCGGGAGGGCGCUUACCACUUUGUGAUUCAUGACUGGGGUGAAGUCGUAACAAGGUAACCGUAGGGGAACCUGCGGUUGGAUCACCUCCUUA